rnacentral:rRNA from 2 species
UUGAAGAGUUUGAUCAUGGCUCAGAUUGAACGCUGGCGGCAGGCCUAACACAUGCAAGUCGAACGGUAACAGGAAUCAGCUUGCUGAUUCGCUGACGAGUGGCGGACGGGUGAGUAAUGUCUGGGAAACUGCCUGAUGGAGGGGGAUAACUACUGGAAACGGUAGCUAAUACCGCAUAACGUCGCAAGACCAAAGAGGGGGACCUUCGGGCCUCUUGCCAUCGGAUGUGCCCAGAUGGGAUUAGCUAGUAGGUGGGGUAACGGCUCACCUAGGCGACGAUCCCUAGCUGGUCUGAGAGGAUGACCAGCCACACUGGAACUGAGACACGGUCCAGACUCCUACGGGAGGCAGCAGUGGGGAAUAUUGCACAAUGGGCGCAAGCCUGAUGCAGCCAUGCCGCGUGUAUGAAGAAGGCCUUCGGGUUGUAAAGUACUUUCAGCGGGGAGGAAGGGAGUAAAGUUAAUACCUUUGCUCAUUGACGUUACCCGCAGAAGAAGCACCGGCUAACUCCGUGCCAGCAGCCGCGGUAAUACGGAGGGUGCAAGCGUUAAUCGGAAUUACUGGGCGUAAAGCGCACGCAGGCGGUUUGUUAAGUCAGAUGUGAAAUCCCCGGGCUCAACCUGGGAACUGCAUCUGAUACUGGCAAGCUUGAGUCUCGUAGAGGGGGGUAGAAUUCCAGGUGUAGCGGUGAAAUGCGUAGAGAUCUGGAGGAAUACCGGUGGCGAAGGCGGCCCCCUGGACGAAGACUGACGCUCAGGUGCGAAAGCGUGGGGAGCAAACAGGAUUAGAUACCCUGGUAGUCCACGCCGUAAACGAUGUCGACUUGGAGGUUGUGCCCUUGAGGCGUGGCUUCCGGAGCUAACGCGUUAAGUCGACCGCCUGGGGAGUACGGCCGCAAGGUUAAAACUCAAAUGAAUUGACGGGGGCCCGCACAAGCGGUGGAGCAUGUGGUUUAAUUCGAUGCAACGCGAAGAACCUUACCUGGUCUUGACAUCCACGGAAGUUUUCAGAGAUGAGAAUGUGCCUUCGGGAACCGUGAGACAGGUGCUGCAUGGCUGUCGUCAGCUCGUGUUGUGAAAUGUUGGGUUAAGUCCCGCAACGAGCGCAACCCUUAUCCUUUGUUGCCAGCGGUCCGGCCGGGAACUCAAAGGAGACUGCCAGUGAUAAACUGGAGGAAGGUGGGGAUGACGUCAAGUCAUCAUGGCCCUUACGACCAGGGCUACACACGUGCUACAAUGGCGCAUACAAAGAGAAGCGACCUCGCGAGAGCAAGCGGACCUCAUAAAGUGCGUCGUAGUCCGGAUUGGAGUCUGCAACUCGACUCCAUGAAGUCGGAAUCGCUAGUAAUCGUGGAUCAGAAUGCCACGGUGAAUACGUUCCCGGGCCUUGUACACACCGCCCGUCACACCAUGGGAGUGGGUUGCAAAAGAAGUAGGUAGCUUAACCUUCGGGAGGGCGCUUACCACUUUGUGAUUCAUGACUGGGGUGAAGUCGUAACAAGGUAACCGUAGGGGAACCUGCGGUUGGAUCACCUCCUU